rnacentral:rRNA from 1 species
GUGGAUUAGAUACCCUGGUAGUCCACGCCGUAAACGAUGAUAACUAGCUGUCCGGGUUCAUAGAACUUGGGUGGCGCAGCUAACGCAUUAAGUUAUCCGCCUGGGGAGUACGGUCGCAAGAUUAAAACUCAAAGGAAUUGACGGGGGCCUGCACAAGCGGUGGAGCAUGUGGUUUAAUUCGAAGCAACGCGCAGAACCUUACCAGCGUUUGACAUCCUGAUCGCGGAUAGUGGAGACACUUUCCUUCAGUUCGGCUGGAUCAGUGACAGGUGCUGCACGGCCGUCGCCAGCU